CUACGGGAGGCAGCAGUGGGGAAUAUUGCGCAAUGGGGGAAACCCUGACGCAGCAACGCCGCGAGAGUGAAGAAGGUUUUCGGAUCGUAAAGCUCUGUUGUUGGUGAAGAAAGAUAGUGAGAGUAACUGCUCAUUAUUUGCCGGUAAUCAACCAGAAAGUCACGGCUAACUACGUGCCAGCAGCCGCGGUAAUA
rnacentral:rRNA from 1 species